AUGCAGUGGCCUUCUGGCCCGUGGUGUCCCCAAGUGGUUCUGGAUGGCCCUGAGCUGCGCUGGGCCUUUUGGGUCUUAGGGCGGGGUGGGCUGGAGCCAGCAGGGUGCAGACGCAGGGCGUGUGCCCCACUCACCGGGGGCUCCUUCCCGAGACUUAAGCUUCUCUCUCUCCUCCCAGGUCUUGCCCUUCUUGCCGGCCACUUCGCCCCCAGCCGACGCCUGGAGCUUGAGGUGACUGAGCGCUCUCAGGCCAGCUCGGCCCUGGACCUGCUCGGCUCUGGACCUGCCCAUCUCUGUCAACGCACGAGGCCCCCGUGCCCCAGGUCAAGAAGUGGCGCCAAGGGGGGAGCUUCUGUCCGAGGCCAGCCUUCCUUCCGGCUGGACUUGGCCUGCACGAGCCACGGUCUGUGUCGCAGGGUGUCUGGAUGGAAGAGCAGCACUGGACCCCCUCUCCCUCUGCGCCGUGAGGACCCGCCGUUCCUGGCUCCCAGGCAGGUGCGCCUGCCCCCCUCCCAACCCCAGGCUCACCCUGCCCCCUUCUCUCCACCCGGCCGGGCGCCAGCCCUCGACCUGCUGCCAGCUGUCAACAUGCGACGCACACAGGUGAGUGUUACCCGGGGCAGGAAAGGCUGGAUGAGGAGAACCAGUGACAUCUGCUUCUCCCAGACGGGGCUGGGGGCACCGGGGGCUUGCGGUGACGGCCGGGGUGGCCCAGGGUGUGUGAGUGUACGUCUGUGUGCUAUUUCUCCCCCCGCCCCCGCCCCCCGCCUCUCCUGAUCCCAUGGGGCCCGGCCGGCCCGUGGGCUGGCCCUUUUCCGCAGGCCGUGGCCUCCCACUGGGGUCUGGGGUCGGCCCUGCAGGCUCCAGAGCUGAAGCCCUGGCCCAGGAGGGGUGGGCAGGUGCGGGGUGCAGGGCAGGACUGUCGGAGCCGAGUAGCGGCUCACACGUGGAUUCCAGCUCCAUGUCGGUUCUGGGGCCUGGCUGCUGUUCCCCCCAGGGAGCUGCGUGGACCCCACAUCUCAGGGAGGAAAUCCAGGCCCACAAGGGCGUAAGCAGAAGCACGGCGAGGAGGCCCGCCUGGCUUCGCAGCCAGCUCCACCUGCUGGGCGUCCUGCCCCGGGCCACCCCUGCCUGCUGGGCCCAUGGUCAGAACCCGUGUCCCUGCGGCCUGAGGCCAUUGGGGUCUUGGGGGCAAAGUCAGGAGUCAGGAGCCAGAGCAUGUGCUCAGGGCGCCUCCCCAGAGUCACUCAGACACACGGGGAGCCCUGGGCGGGGCGCCGGGUCCUUGGCUGCAGUGUCCUCCCCGUGACGAGGCCGAGCGGCCGCCCCUCCACAGACAGCCAGCAUGCUCCUGCCCGACCCCUCACCAUUACCGGGGCGGGGGUGGGCAGCAAAGGAAGACCCCUGGUCGCUUUCUCUUCAACCCCCGUCCUGGAGCCAGACUAGCUCUGCCCGGAGAGUCCUUGGGGACACCCUGGUGCUGUCCGCCAGGCGGCCAAGGCGUCCACGAGGAAUCGGGGGUACAGGACCCCAGACCCUCUCCUGCAGAGCUCCCUCUGGGCCCUGAGGACGGACAGGGCGCCCGUGACCACAGGCCAGCCAGGUCCGGGGCCAGGCUGUGCUGGGGCAUUCCUGGGCUCAUACCCAGGUCCGGGCGGAUGGCGCUGUGGGCUCUGAUGUCAUCACGGGCUGACGGCUCUGGCUUUAUCUCAUGCUCCCCGGGGUUGUUCAGGGAGCAGCCGCGGCCGUGUUUGUCAGGACCGGACACCAGAGCUCC
rnacentral:lncRNA from 1 species